UACGUAGGGCGCAAGCGUUUAUCCGGAAUUAUUGGGCGUAAAGAGCUCGUAGGCGGUUUGUCGCGUCUGCCGUGAAAAGUCCCGGGGGCUCAACUCCGGAUCUGCGGUGGGUACGGGCAGACUAGAGUGAUGUAGGGGAGACUGGAAUUCCUGGUGUAGCGGUGAAAUGCGCAGAUAUCAGGAGGAACACCGAUGGCGAAGGCAGGUCUCUGGGCAUUAACUGACGCUGAGGAGCGAAAGCAUGGGGAGCGAACAGG
rnacentral:rRNA from 1 species